rnacentral:rRNA from 1 species
AGUGGCGGACGGGUGAGUAACGCGUAAGAAUCUAACUUCAGGACGGGGACAACAGUUGGAAACGACUGCUAAUACCCGAUAUGCCGCGAGGUGAAACCUAAUUGGCCUGAAGAAGAGCUUGCGUCUGAUUAGCUAGUUGGUGGGGUAAGGCCUACCAAGGCGACGAUCAGUAGCUGGUCUGAGAGGAUGAGCAGCCACACCGGGACUGAGACACGGCCCAGACUCCUACGGGAGGCAGCAGUGGGGAAUUUUCCGCAAUGGGCGAAAGCCUGACGGAGCAACGCCGCGUGAGGGAGGAAGGUCUUUGGAUUGUAAACCUCUUUUCUCAAGGAAGAAGUUCUGACGGUACUUGAGGAAUCAGCCUCGGCUAACUCCGUGCCAGCAGCCGCGGUAAUACGGGGGAGGCAAGCGUUAUCCGGAAUUAUUGGGCGUAAAGCGUCCGCAGGUGGUCAGCCAAGUCUGCCGUCAAAUCAGGUUGCUUAACGACCUAAAGGCGGUGGAAACUGGCAGACUAGAGAGCAGUAGGGGUAGCAGGAAUUCCCAGUGUAGCGGUGAAAUGCGUAGAGAUUGGGAAGAACAUCGGUGGCGAAAGCGUGCUACUGGGCUGUAUCUGACACUCAGGGACGAAAGCUAGGGGAGCGAAAGGGAUUAGAUACCCCUGUAGUCCUAGCCGUAAACGAUGGAUACUAGGCGUGGCUUG